rnacentral:rRNA from 1 species
UGGGGAAUUUUGGACAAUGGGCGAAAGCCUGAUCCAGCAAUGCCGCGUGUGUGAAGAAGGCCUUCGGGUUGUAAAGCACUUUUGUCCGGAAAGAAAUCCUUGGCUCUAAUACAGUCGGGGGAUGACGGUACCGGAAGAAUAAGCACCGGCUAACUACGUGCCAGCAGCCGCGGUAAUACGUAGGGUGCAAGCGUUAAUCGGAAUUACUGGGCGUAAAGCGUGCGCAGGCGGUUUGCUAAGACCGAUGUGAAAUCCCCGGGCUCAACCUGGGAACUGCAUUGGUGACUGGCAGGCUAGAGUAUGGCAGAGGGGGGUUAGAAUUCCACGUGUAGCAGUGAAAUGCGUAGAGAUGUGGAGGAAUACCGAUGGCGAAGGCAGCCCCCCUGGGCCAAUACUGACGCUCAUGCACGAAAGCGUGGGGGAGCAAACAGGAUUAGAUACCCUGGUAGUCCACGCCCUAAACGAUGUCAACUAGUUGUUGGGGGAUUCAUUUUCCUUAGUAACGUAGCUAACGCGUGAAGUUGACCGCCUGGGGAGUACGGUCGCAAGA